rnacentral:tRNA from 1 species
CACCACCAGCACCCAAAGCUGGUAUUCUAAUUAAACUACUUCUUGAGUACAUAAAUUUACAUAGUACAACA